GGGGGUUUAGCUCAGUUGGUAGAGCGUCUGCUUUGCAAGCAGAAUGUCAACGGUUCGAAUCCGUUAAUCUCCACCA
rnacentral:tRNA from 2 species